UCAUGACACUCUUGGAUUUGGCUCAGCCAAAAUGAUAAGAUUUUGAAUCCAUCAGUAAUGCUAGGAAACGAGCCAGCUGCGAACGUCGAGCGCCUGAUUUUGCUAAGAUGAUUCUCUAGCAGAGAAGAAAGGUUGAAGGAGUUGCGGAAGUUGUUGCAGCUAUUCGGCAGUUCUAGUCAUAGCAAUGUUUCGGCUUCUAUAACUUAAAUGUUUGGUUUUGCUGUUGAGCACGUGGUUUCACUGAUUUAUCAAAACGUGGUUUCCAGCGUGAAACCAAACAUUUCCGGAGUAAGCUUUGUGCUCAAUAAUAAAAUCUUUCGGAAUUUUAUUGUCUGUUCGUGUAAAUUAUAAGAAUCUGGUCUGGUGAAGACCUUGAUAAAGGGAUAAGAAUGCCUUUCUUUUUUUUUUUUUUGGAAAAAAAACUCUUCUAUGUAUUGCUUGGUUGUGCAAAUACAUGCACCGUUGGCUUU